UACAGAGGGGGCAAGCGUUGUUCGGAAUUACUGGGCGUAAAGGGCGCGUAGGCGGCCUUCUAAGUCGAACGUGAAAGCCCCGGGCUCAACCCGGGAACUGCGUCCGAUACUGGAAGGCUUGAAUCCGGGAGAGGGAUGCGGAAUUCCUGGUGUAGCGGUGAAAUGCGCAGAUAUCAGGAGGAACACCGGUGGCGAAGGCGGUCCUCUGGGCAGGUUCUGACGCUGAGGAGCGAAAGUGUGGGGAGCGAACAGG
rnacentral:rRNA from 1 species